rnacentral:lncRNA from 1 species
UGAAAUAUUGAAGAUUAAGUCAACCCUAAAACCAAUCAUCAUGAUCAAUAAAAUCUAAUCAACCAUCUUUAAAUACAAGGGUAUAAAUGUCCAAUGAAAAUGGUAAAAAAAUAAAAUGAUUAAUGGAUAAAUAAAAUAUAUUGAUGAGAAAAAGUAUGUACAAAAAUAUUUGGGUAAAAGUAAAUAAAUGAGAAAAGAAAAGGAAUUAAAAUGGAAAGAAAAUAAUUA